rnacentral:snoRNA from 2 species
CUUCCUCUCCCUUAAUCCAGUCACUCUAUGUCCAGUUGAGUGGUCUGGCAAUGAAAGAGGAUACAGCGUAAUGGCUCUCACCGCACACC